GACGAACGCUGGCGGCGGGCCUAAUACAUGCAAGUCGAGCGAGCGGCGGACGGGUGAGUAAUGUCUGGGAAACUGCCUGAUGGAGGGGGAUAACUACUGGAAACGGCAGCUAAUACCGCAUACCAUCAGAUGUGCCCAGAUGGGAUUCGCUGGUGGGUGGGGUAACGGCCCACCUAGGCGACGAUCCCUAGCUGGUCUGAGAGGGUGACCAGCCACACUGGAACUGAGACACGGUCCAGACUCCUACGGGAGGCAGCAGUGGGGAAUAUUGCGCAAUGGGCGCAAGCCUGAUGCAGCCAUGCCGCGUGUGUGAAGAAGGCCUUCGGGUUGUAAAGCACUUUCGGCGGGGAGGCGUUACCCGCAGAAGAAGCACCGGCUAACUCCGUGCCAGCAGCCGCGGUAAUAC
rnacentral:rRNA from 1 species